rnacentral:sRNA from 1 species
UCCUAUUUUUUGCAUACAUCCUUCAAACCCUCAAAAUUAUCCUUCUCAAUUACCAAACCAUAAUGGCACAACAAGGGUAUUAUAACUCAUCCUUUGACCAUGACAAUCAAGCUGUGGUGACGACAACUAUGCACGAGGAAUGACAAAGAAUUCAGGGGAAGAAAGUCACAAAGGCUAAACAUGGUGGCACAUCAUCAAGCCAAAAACGCAUUCCAAGGGAUAGGGUUAGUGGAAGGAACACUGUUGCCAUUCAAAGGAGGAUUCCUCUAGUUAGUGACAUUCCCGCAAUCAUCUUUGGUGCGGAUGUUACCCAUCCUCAACUUGGGAAGUACAGCAGUCCGGUAAUUGCCGAUGUAAGUUCACUCGUAAAUUCAUUGUGCUAGGGAGCAUUUCGGAGCAUUUUGACAAGAAACUGGCCGAAAACCAGAGAAAAUUAUCCUCUUCAUGAGGGAUAUCUGCCACCAGUUGCCUUUGUUGUGGUACAAACUGAUAAGAGUGGCAAUUUUCAACCAUGUUGCAAAUUUUAGAUGCAUUAAGAUGCACUAUUGUUGACACCCAGAUUUGUCAUAUGAGGGAGUUCAACUUUUAUCUCAACAGUCAUGCGGGCAUUCAGGUAUUAUUUGUACGGUUGAUUUAUACAUGCCAGUUUUGUUUUUGUGGUAGUUUACUUGCCCUCUUAUGAGGAUGUAUUCGUGUUCUAUUCACUGCUAAAUAUAAAACCUUAAGUUGUGGUUAUAGUUCGAAUUGCUAUCUUUUGUUCGUGUAAGGAAAUAACAGGCAUGCACAAUACCAUGUCUUGUAUUGCGAUUUUUCAGGUAUAAAGGCACUAUCCUUAUUCUUAUUAUAAGGCCUUAUUAUAUCAUGAUGGAGGCAGAUUCUCGAUUCAGACUAAUAAUGAGACCCUCUACAUAUCUUCGAAGAUAUGUAGUUUGAGUGAACGCUCGAUCACCAAAUCAUCUAUGUAAGGGAACAAAUUUGAAAUCAGCAGGUUCGUUAGUCAUAUGAGCCCAAAUGCUAAAUAGAUAGAAUAACCCACAAUGUAUAGUUAAAGCAUGCAAUAGGUUUCAACAAGGAGGUAAUGGGCUUCGCCAAGUGGCUUGCACAGGCCCAACCGCAUCUAUUAAAUACUAUACCGUGAGUCCAUGCGCAAGGCUGUCCAAAAACAUAUGGAUGCUACGAGUGAAGAAAGUGGUGGUCGACACUUGGAUUUAGGCAUACAUGCCUCGACAAGUGAACAACUUUAUGCACUUCAACAAUUGGCUUGUAGGUUUUGUAUGACAGAAAGGAUAUUUGUUAUCAUAGAUAUCUUAAUAUGUCAAAGAUACAAUGAACUCAUUGAAGAAUAGAUGGCCCAAGAAAGUGUACUAGAGACGCUUUUUGUGGCGGCUUUGAGAGAUAGAAUCCCCCUUUAGGGUACACUUUGCAAACUAGUUCCUCCUUCAUUACUUUGCCAAUUAAAAACUUCUACUCCACACUUCGCAAUCGACAAACAUCAAAGUUACCAUCAAGAAAGCAAAGAGUCUUAUCCGCAACCCGACGACAUUCACAAAUCUCAUUGCUUAUGAUACAUAAUAAUCAUCUGAUCGAAAAUCAUUAUAUAUACACUAAGAUAUUAUUGGAAAGACAUCAUCACCCACGGUGUGUUGAGAUGGUGGAGACUGAGAAAAGUCGGACGUUCUCUCACAUUCUUGAGAGGAGGGUAUGUGAUACAUUGAUUGAAUUUAUAUCGAGUGACUUUGGAUAUGAUAAUUAUUAUGUCUUACAUGCAAUGAGAUUUGUGGACUUUGUGUCUGUAGAUAAGACCCUUUGCUUUUUCGAUGGGAAUUUUGAUGUUUAUCGAUUAUUAAGUGUGGAGGACAAGUUUUUAAUUGGUGAAGUAAUGAAGGAACUGGUUUGCAAAGUGUACCCUAAAAGGGACAUGUACUCGGAUUUCUCAAAGCUGUCACAAAAAACGUUUCGAGUAUAAUUUCUUGGGCUGUCUCUUCUUAAAUGGGUUCGUUUAUAAGCCAUGUAUCUCUGCGUAUUAAGAUGUCAGGAGCCAAUUGUUGGAGUGCUGUUCACUUUCUGUGACAUUAAACUCUAUUUGCUCACAACAUCCAUAUGUUUUUAGAUAACCCUGCGCAUGGAUUCGAGAUAGUAUACAAUUAAUGCAAUUGAGCAUGUGCAAGCAAACAUGAUGAACUAGUUACAUGCUUUAAUAGUAACUCAUGGGGUUGUUCUACUUAUGUGAGCAUUUGGACAUGUAUGACUAACGAACACGUUGGCUUCAAAUUUAUUCCGCAUAUAGAUGCUCUGGUGCUUGAGCGUUCACUCAAACUACAUAUCUUCAAAGAUAUUAUGGGAAAGACAUCCUCACCCAUGGCGUAUUGAGAUGGUGUAGAGUGGAAAAAAGUUAGUCAUCUUCUCACAUUCUUGUGAGGAGGAUACAUGCUACACUCAAUCGAUUAUCGAGUGAUUUUAGAUCAAAUGAUUAUUCAUCAUGGCUGUAGAUGAUUUCAUGAUAGGAACUUUGAUGUUUGUCAGCUGCGAAGUGUGUAAGUUUUUAAUUGGCGAAGUGAUGAAGGAGGAGCUGAUUUGCAAAGUGUAUUAUACUAGCGGAAAGAGAUUUGAUGAUGAGUCUGAGGAGGAUAACCCUCAAGAAAGUCUUUCAAGACUUGAAUUAUAAAACAUUAACAGUUCUAUUUGUCUGUUCCUUAACAAAAAAAAAAAAACAGUUUUAGUUGUACAAAAAGCAAUUCCAAACGAGAAAUUCCACUUCACUCACUCAAGUCCUCGCAAUGCAUGAUAGGACUUUGUAUAAGUUGAAGCUUAACAACUUUGUUUCGUGAAGUUACUAUGUGUUUAUAUUUCACUCUGUAUCCAUUGUUUCUUAUUUGGCUUUUUGAGCCUUCCAUUACUAUUUGUGUUGUUGAUUUAUAUAUGCCAAUUUUGCUUUUGCGGUAGUUUCCUCACCCUCCUCCGAGGUCUUGUUUAUGAUUUAAUUAUGUGGUUUCUGAUGAGUGCACAUGUAGGGAGAAGGUUUCCUGAAUCUUGCUGGAGUGCACAUUUUUACAAUUUGAAUCCAAUACAAUGUCUUUAUGGUUUCCAGUUGUUCUUUAUCUAAGUGUACCCACUUGUAUUGAAGCAAUUUAAUUUACACAUAAUUUUAAGUUAUAUCACGCUUAUAUAUGUUAAUGCAGAACAUCAAUUAGAU